rnacentral:rRNA from 1 species
UACGGGGGGGGCAAGCGUUGUUCGGAAUUACUGGGCGUAAAGCGUGCGCAGGCGGUUAUGUAAGACAGAUGUGAAAUCCCCGGGCUCAACCUGGGAACUGCAUUUGUGACUGCAUAGCUAGAGUACGGUAGAGGGGGAUGGAAUUCCGCGUGUAGCAGUGAAAUGCGUAGAUAUGCGGAGGAACACCGAUGGCGAAGGCAAUCCCCUGGACCUGUACUGACGCUCAUGCACGAAAGCGUGGGGAGCAAACAGG